UCUCUUUCGGAGCAAACCCACAACGCCCAUGGCAGGAUAUUGCCAUGGAUUUUAUUGUGGAGUUACCAAACAGUAAUGGUUAUACAGUUAUAAGGACUAUCAUUGACUUAUUCUCAAAACAGGCACAUUUCGUACCUUGUAGAGGUUUGCCCUCAGUGAAAAAACUAGCCAAUAUGUUUAUAAGACAUGUUUAUUGAUCACAUGGGACCCCUCGACGAGUAAUUUCUUACAGAGGCGUACAAUUCACUGCACAAUUCUGGAGAGCAUUCCUCCAUUUGUUAGGGUCAUCCCAGGGAUUAAGUUUGGCAUACCAUCCAAGCACGAAUGGCGCAGCAGAAAGAGCAAAUGCUAUGGUGGAGAGAUACUUAAGAUCAUAUGUGUCAUA